GAAGAGGAAGGGGGAGGGGUGGAAGGAGAGGAGAGAAGUGAUAAGUGAUGGGGUGGGGGGAUGGAGGUGAUGGGGGGGCCCGAGAGGAGAGGUGGAGGAGAGAGGAUCCUGGAGGUGCGGAGGCACUGGCCUUUCUCAGCCCCGCCAACGCCUCCUCCCGCCGAGGUGGGCCAGCUGGAAGGCUGCCAAGUGCGCGCCCGCCGGGCUCGCCCCGGGCGAGCCCAGCGCUCGCCGGCGACGUGGAAAACCUCGAGAGUUUUAAGACGUCAGGGCGAAUCGCGAGGUGCUUUGGGGAACGCCGCACGGGGGCCUCGGGGUCCCGCGGAGUUUUUGGGGACGCACCAGGCCGCGUCGGGAUGCCCCGCUCGGGAGGCCGCAGCCUGGGGGCCGCUCACACUCUGUUGGCAUCUGUCCGCGCCUGUGUACGUGGCUCUUGACGUGGAGAGCUGUGCCUGUGGACAGCGUGCACCGGAGGGAGGGACGAAAGGAUGAGGCCUUGGCCCAACCUCUGUGCCCUGGGAGUCCCAAAGCCACUGCUAUUUUGUCAGAUUAACCCCCCAGACCCACGAGGAAAUCCUUGAGGCUUCGGGGAACGUGGGAUUUGUAGUGCCGCUGGUUCCAGAUGGUUCCUCCUUCAGACUUUGGCAAAUCGGCAUCCCAAAGAUUUCCUCUUAUCCUUCUGCUGUGUUGAGCAGACAUUACCCAGACACGGCGCCCGGAUCUCUGCUCUUGGAGUUUCCUGGAUCCCUCCAGUGAGGAUGAUGGAUUGAGAACAGAGUUGCCUCGGGGUCAGUCUCCCACCAGCGAGACUUUCUCUUCUGACCGUUCUACUCCAUCCAUGCCAAGCAUAAAGAAUAGAUCCUGUGAGCACACAGCAAGAUGGCAGCUGCUGACGAGCCAGGAAGAGAAGUCUCACCAGAAACUGACCGUGCUGGUACCCUGAUCCUGGACUUCCAGCCUCCAGAACUGUGAGAAAUAAGUGUCUGUUGUUUUAGCCCCCCAGUCUAUGGUAUUUUGUUACGACAGCCUGAACUGACUAAGACAUAGUCCAAUAUUGUUUCUCCCUGAUGGCAAUGUGUUAGGCCAGAGCCUCCACGAUCCCUGAUUUUCCUUCAUGAGCAGGUAGGGUAGGAAAGCGAUACACAGGAGCUGAGUGUAGUUCUGAGAGAAGUUCAGACCAGCGUGUGAAAGGAGGAAGGUGAGUACUGGUCCGAAAUGGAGUACACCAAGAUUGAGAGGCAAGUACAGGAGAAAUAGACACUGUUAGGAAAAAGGGAGUCUGACUGUUUCCACCAAGGAGACCUCCGACUUUCUGAAGGACUGUUUCCAAGAUGACCAGAAUCUUCUUUCUUCUCCACUUGUUAUGGCAAAGACAGUGCAUAAUGCCAGAAUGAAAUGACCCCAGUCAAUUCUAACAAUAUCUUAACAUGUUACAAACAAAAAAUAUCUGUACCAAGUCCUCUGCUCGCUCAAUACUGAGAGUCCUAUUCUCCACUGGAAAGGAGGCCGGACAUCCCCCAGACCAGCCAGGAAGAGCUUUCUACGGAGCCCCCACCCCAGCAAGGAUGCAGUGGGUGGAGCAGGACCAGGCACAUCCAGACAGCUUAAUUGAAACAGGGUAUCAGAAAAAUAGGACCCUCUUAUAUUUUGCUAUACUUUUGACAUUUUUCCCAUUAAAAAAGUGUUUUUAAAAAGGUAUUUCUGUAGACAAUUACAAUUUCAUUCCCCAGUUUAAAAAGUAGUGGUAUGGAACAAAAAUGACAACACAUCAUGAUAUCUUGUUUAGGUAUGCAGGAACUCCAAUAAUUUCCAGGAGACACAAGUUUGUUUCUAUGUUCUUUUUAAGAAAAAAAUGAUCAUUUUAAUAAAGUUUAUAAGUAAAUU
rnacentral:lncRNA from 1 species